rnacentral:lncRNA from 1 species
ACAGAUUUUGAUAAGGUCGGCAUUAAAACACUCUCCUAACUAGGGUUUAAAGGCGCAUGCAUGUGGCCCUCUGAUAGACCAAGAAGACUGUAUAGGUGUAGACUGGUUAAGAUAUAAAAGGUACUAAGAACAAGUUCCUGGUUAUUUGAAAGAUCCUGGCCUCUUCCACAAACUCAGAAUACAAUCCAAUACCCUCCCUCAGUUCCUCUCCUUCCAUUUUAAUUCCCACCCUGCAGUUAUCUCAACUAAUAAU